CGGCCUUUUGGCUAAGAUCAAGUGUAGUAUCUGUUCUUAUCAGUUUAAUAUCUGAUAUGUGGACCAAUGGUCCACACGAUAUUAAAUUAAUUUUUUGAGGGGGAGAUUCCAUUACGGUAGCUUGCUGCUGGGGCUCUCGAGUGUCGCCUUGGCGUUGCACUACUGCCUGGGCCGGGCACACCCCACCAAUUGUAGGUCAAAACUUUUCUGCCUUUUUCACUUGCACAGGCACCAGGGUUGUGCUGAUUGAGACUGAACAACUCCGGUACCUAUUUAGUAUAUGUAUAUGAUCAUCCUCCUGGUCCCCACAUGGCGGGGGAUCUGUCCAUUUAACAUAACCCAUCCAUCUGUCUGGUUGUCUGUUCCUAAUUAAAAAUAAAUAAAUAAAUAAAAAAUAAAAUUGAGAGGGGUUGGUUUUA
rnacentral:lncRNA from 1 species